UGUCCGCUAUGUUUAUCUGCUUUUCUUGUUCUACAUCUUGCUCACAUUGGACCAUUACGUCUGCAGUAUCUGGAUCUUUACUCUUCUGCAAGUCUUGAACUUGUGAUUCAAGUCCUUGGUCUUCAUCAUUCUCAGUUUUCUUCUGAUCCUUCUGGUCUAAAUUGUUCUCCUUCUCAUCAAUAGGAUGUUCAUCUGAAAGUUUAAAACCUCCAAAGCCUCCUGUCUCUCCAUGAUCCAUCAUGUUUAUCAGUUUGUCUUGUUCUACAUCUUGUCCAUAAAGCUCACAUUGGACCAAUAUGUCUGCGUUAUCUGGAUCUUCACUCUUCUGCAAAUCUUGAACUUGUGAUUCAAGUCCUUUUUCUUCAUCAUUCUCAGUUUUCUCCUGAUCCUUCUGGUUUAAACUGUUCUCCUUUUCUUCAAUAAGAUGUUCAUCUGCAUAUUUAAAACCUGCAAUGCCUUCUGUCUCUCCAUGGUCCGCUAUGUUUAUCUGCUUUUCCUGUUCUACAUCUUGCUCACAAUGGACCAUUACGUCUGCGGUAUCUGGAUCUUCACUCUUCUGCAAAUCUUGAACUUGUGAUUCAAGUCCUUGUUCUUCGUCAUUCUCAGUUUUCUCCUGAUCCUUCUGGUCUAAAUUGUUCUUCUUUUCAUCAAUAGGAUGUUCAUCUGAAUGUUUAAAACCUCCAAUGCCUUCUUCCUCUGCUAGGUCCAUCCCACUUAUCUGCAUUUCUUGUUCUACAUCUUGUCCAUAAAGCUCAGAUUGGACCUUUACGUCUGCAUUAUCCAAAUCUUCACUCUCCACUGCACACUUUUCUUCCUCAUGAUUCUGAUCACAUUCUUCUUCAUCUUCAUUGUCACCAUCGUUUUGUUCAAGCUGCCCAAUUUCUUCCAAGUCCUGUACAGUUUCCUUCUCCUUACCCUGCUCAGUCGCACAUCUAGUUUCAGGCAUCAUCUCCUCAACCUCGUUUUUAGAUAUGCAAGCAAUUUCAUCAGAAUAUUUUUUUAAAUAUUCCAGCUGUGGCAGCAAAUCUUGCACUUGUGAUUCAGUUCCUUGGUCUUCAUCAUUCUCAGUUCUGCCCCGAUCUUUCUGGUCAACAGUUUGUUCCACUAUUUCAUCAAUAAGAUGUUCAUCUGAAAGUUUAAAACCUCCAAAGCCUCCUGUCUCUCCAUGAUCCAUCAUUCUUAUCAGUUUGUCUUGUUCUACAUCUUGUCCAUAAAGCUCACAUUGGACCAAUAUGUCUGCGUUAUCUGGAUCUUCACUCUUCUGCAAAUCUUGAACUUGUGAUUCAAGUCCUUUUUCUUCAUCAUUCUCAGUU
rnacentral:lncRNA from 12 species